rnacentral:sRNA from 9 species
AUUCUACCCAUGCGGGGAAGGAUGAGAAGCUUCGACUAAGGUUCGAUUCGAGCGCAGCGAGAAAGCGUUGCCGCAGGCAACGACCCGAAGGGCGAAGCGCGUAGCGCUGAGUCAUCCUUCCCCCACCACCA